rnacentral:rRNA from 1 species
AAAGGUAAUAUCUCUGAGAAACCUUUACCCCUUGGCGGCCUCUCUUCUUAUCAGAGGAAUUCGUCCUUUAAUCGAUAUUACCCGCUUAUUUUCUCUUCUUUUAAAAUCCUUUAUACCGCCGUCUAAAGAAUAAAAUAAAAAUUUUAUUUCAAACCAUUUUUACCAAGUCAGGUCAAGGUGAAGAACAUAAAGAAGAUAGGAUAAAUUACCCAUUUAAAUAAUUAUUGAAAUUUGUUCUAAAGAAACUUAAGAAACAGGAUUUGAAAGUAGUUUUUAAAUAAAAAUUUAAACCGAACAAGCACUUAGGUGUACACAUCGCCCGUCGCUCUUA